GUGGGGGGGACUCUCCAGGGACAUCAUGCGUCACAGAGCAGGGAAGAGGGGGUGGUGAAGGCAGGCAUGAGCAGGUAGGAGAAUGUCACCCUGUCACUGAUGUCAUAGGGCAGAACUGGGGAUCGAGAGAACAGAAGUCAAGGCAUGGAAAGGGUCAGGUGACUGUCUUGCCCUUCUCACCUCCUUCUCGGGGGACACAGACGGGCUCAGCAAGAUGAAAGGAAUUUUUCCAAAGAUCUCUGCAGCACAGCCUCUCAUUGGCUGUUUCCUUUGUGUCGGACUGACACUGCCCAGCAAGCCCCAUCUAGCUACCAGGAGAGCUGUUUACAUGGAAUCCAAGUUGCCUGCCAGGGGCAGAGCACGUUUUUCCACAGCUGCUGAGAAAGACGAGUGAGUCAAGACAGAAUAACAAAAAGCCACUUCAAAAACACACCAGAAGAAGUACGAAGCUGAGACAAUCACAGGACAAUAGAGCCCAUUGAAGAGGAGCCUGGAGUUGGAGGUAUUGGCUCAAGUCCCUCCGACUGUCAUUCAGUUGCCAUGAGACUUUAGGUUGCUGACCCACUUAGGAAGAUGAGGUUUUUCUGCAGAGCCCUGGCUCCUUGCUGCACUGGGUGAGCUGUAGAGCGUCAACUCAGAGGUCCCCAUCAAGGCCCCACAGUGCCACGGUCCAGGAUGAUACACUGUGGCAUCCAGCAAAGAGGAGCCCUCGUCCUUUUUUCCUUUUUAGAGGGGUCGUCUAUUGUAGCAGAAAUUCUACAAUUGUGUUCGGGUCUCUAACCUCGGGGAUGAAAAAGAUGAAGGGUUUGAUCUAUGUUGAAGGUGGAUUCUCUUUCAUCAUUACACACACACACACACACACACACACACAUCAAAGGCAAGAUACAAAAUUCAUGCAAAGAUACUGCAAUUCACCAGAAUCUCAAAUGACAUUGUGUCACAGAUCAAAGGACAUUGUGUCACAGGCCUGGACACACUCAUGGAGAGGUGCUCAUGACUGAACUUGUGUCCUUGGGUGAGGAAGUGCAGCUGAGUCCAUUUCUGAAGCCUACCUCUUGUCUCAUAGGGCUUU
rnacentral:lncRNA from 1 species